rnacentral:lncRNA from 1 species
UGAAAGCCGAUGCAACAGGAAUUUUCUCACAAAAAAUUCUGAAAUCAAACGGUUUCAAGGUACUGAGCGAAUUCUACUAUGAUAAGUAUACAGAUGAAUUUGGUAAGCCAAUAUUGUUGGUGGAGGCACCGCACAUUAAAUUGCAGCUGCUAUACAAAGUCUUGGAAUAAAGCGCAGAUGCAGGAGACGUUUUUACUGUUUUUUCACAUCUAACUUAAUCGACGACACAGUAUUCCACGAAUAUGUGUAGAAAAAAAAUUAAGAGCUAUAGUUUAAAGUUAUAAAUUCUGUGUCAAAAAAGUAGUAAAACCACUAUAACAACGCAGUUAUUUAUACUAAUAGACCGCAUUAAAUUAAGUGUAUAUUAACGGCGCAGACAAUUAUUUAUAAGAAACACAUUUUUAUUGCCAUAAUCGCACAUUUAUUAGUAUGUAAAUUAUUUAUUAACCAACUUUAGUGCAAAAGCCAAGCAUGUAAGCUAUAAUUAAAUAUAAUUUCAUAUACAUACAGGUAUACAUAUAUAUAUUUAUUAAAAUAUACGAAAAAUAUUAUUUUCUGAAAUUUUUAAUACAAUAAAUACAUACGCACUGGUUAAAUGUUGCAAUAAAUACUUUAUAACCGCGACAAUAAAAGAAUUUUGUAUGCGCGAUGUUUCUACUUUUCUAGCUGGAAGUACGGAUGUAUUAAAAUAAAGAUAUAAAUUAUACUAUUAAAC